CCAAUCAAGGUGUCACUUUGGCCCAUCGCUUUUAAAUUUCUUUCUUUGCAAUUUUCCUCAGUGGAGUUGUUUCUACCAUUAAGACAAUUGGGCAUGAUAUAACGUUAUGCAUAUUUUCCCACAUCAUUAAGGCUUUUUUUUUCAAGCAUCUUUUUUUUUUUUUAAUUUUUUUUUCAACGUUUUUACUUAUUUUUGGGACAGAGAGAGACAGAGCAUGAACGGGGGAGGGGCAGAGAGAGAGGGAGACACAGAAUCGGAAACAGGCUCCAGGCUCCGAGCCAUCAGCCCAGAGCCUGACGCGGGGCUCGAACUCACGGACCGCGAGAUCGUGACCUGGCUGAAGUCGGACGCUUAACCGACUGCGCCACCCAGGCGCCCCUCAAGCAUCUUUUUUUAAGGCCUCAUAAUCUUCCUACAGGGGACGCUGAAUUCCAUAACCACUGCCCUAUUGUUAGACUGUUUCCAUUUCCCCAGUUGUAACAGGCUAUGAGAUACAGCUUCGUACACAAAUCUUUUCUUCCGCCAUGUCUGCUGGUUACCUUAGGACCCAUUCCCAGGAGGGAAAUUACUGAGCAAAAGCAAAUGAGCAUUUUUCAAGCUACAGAUUCUGGAACUGCUCUCCAGACACACCGCUUCAGUCUCCCAGGGUCUCCACCAACCCAGCCACCUUUGGCUCUGAGGACGUUCUGCAGUGAAAUAACCAUUUCUUUGAGCUCUCAUAAAGCUCUCCAUUCACAUCAAGCUUCAGGCUGCCAACCAUCGUUAAUGAAGUGUGAACCUGAAGGACUGAAUCAAGGUGAUCUCACACCACAACUUCUAGAAAACAAAACAGAACAAAAAAACAGCAAACAACAACAAAACUUGCAAUGUUCAGGGAACAUCUCCCUUUUCAUUUUUGCAAGAGGAGAUGACUGUUCGGGCUCUUCCAGCUCAGGAAGCAACACACCGCUGGCGGGCUGCCUUCCACCUUGCACCACGGUGACGAGUUUUCAUUUGGUGAGCUGUAGAAGUCACUCGGCGAAGUUUGCUGCGCCUUGGGUCAAAGGUAAUUUGGCCCCGAGCUGUCACGUUUUAGACCGUUUGCGGUACUUGCUUGCUGUUGUCGAGAAAAGAGAGAAAAGGCAAUCGCCUCCAUAGAAGCAGCCGUUACGCUCUCGGCGGAGCCCCCUCCUUGAUGCUGGUGACGAGGUAUGGCGGGGUGAAGGGUCCCGGGGAACCAAACCUCAGCGAAGGCCCAGCUCAGGCAUGGCCAGUAUCCCCAUGCCAAGAUCUUCCCAGAAGGAGUCUUUAGAGGAUUUAGGUCUCUGAGUGUGGAAAGCUGGUUGGUAGCCAGCACACCUUCUCUAGAGGCGCAGGAACAUCAGGGCUUGCUUUCUUUACCUAGUCCCUACUCACCCUUUGGAAAAAAAUAUUUUCAGAUCAAUUUUAACGUCCCACGGUCGCAGAGCGGCCACCCGUCACCUCUUGCCACAGAUCAACAACCACAUUUCCCCCAACGUCUCCGGCAGAAGGUCCUGCUUGCAGAGGAAGCAAUUCAGCGGGGCUUUGGAAGACAGCCGAGCAGCAGCAGGAGGCCUCCGAAAUCCACAAUUUUAGACUCUCGGGGUGGGCAUUUUCUUGCGGCGUAUUAAGUAACACACCUACUCAAGUUACUCUGUGAACUCAGUGGACAGCUGCCCUUUCAGCGAGAAACGAAUGCCUGCGCUGCACUCUGCCUUCCCCCCGCCCCCCGCC
rnacentral:lncRNA from 1 species